rnacentral:misc_RNA from 1 species
GAUGAAGAACGCAGCGAAAUGCGAUACGUAAUGUGAAUUGCAAAUUCAGUGAAUCAUCGAGUCUUUGAACGCACAUUGCGCCCCCUGGUAUUCCGGGGGGCAUGCCUGUCCGAGCGUCAUUGCUGCCCUCAAGCACGGCUUGUGUGUUGGGCCCCGUCCUCCGAUCCCGGGGGACGGGCCCGAAAGGCAGCGGCGGCACCGCGUCCGGUCCUCGAGCGUAUGGGGCUUUGUCACCCGCUCUGUAGGCCCGGCCGGCGCUUGCCGACCAACCCAAAUUUUUAUCCAGGUUGACCUCGGAUCAGGUAGGGAUACCCGCUGAACUUAAGCAUAUCAAUAAGCGGAGGA